GACGUAGGGCGCGAGCGUUGUCCGGAUUUAUUGGGCGUAAAGAGCUCGUAGGCGGUGUGUCACGUCGGCCGUGAAAACCUGCAGCUUAACUGUGGGCGUGCGGUCGAUACGGGCAUCACUGGAGUUCGGCAGGGAGACUGGAAUCCUGGUGUAGCGGUGAAUGCGCAGAUAUCAGGAAGAACACCCGUGGCGAAGGCGGCUCUCUGGGACGGUACUGACGCUGAGACGCGAAAGCGUGGGAGCGAACAGG
rnacentral:rRNA from 1 species